rnacentral:lncRNA from 1 species
AGUCUGGGUCCGCCCCCUCCUCUCCCCGGAGAGGCCGGGACGCACCCACUAGGCACAGCCUUAAAGGGCUCGCUUUCCGUGAGUGAAUCCUGAGUGAGACGUCGGAGCAGCUUAAAGAUUGUCACUCUUCUCCUGUAAUGUCAGGACCCUAAAGGAAACUCCUGACCCUGCUUUCUCCCUCCACCAAGAUAUUGUCAUCCCGUGUCCAGGUUUCUUUUCCACUUGCGUAGGGUGAGGGUGCCUUGGGACUUGGGUGUGGUUUCAAGUCGCGGCCUUAGCGUGAACUGCGUCUGGGCGCCAGGCCCUUUGUGCCCUGUGCUUUGAACUGGGGGUUUUUUAGAGCUUGGGGCCAUUCGGAACCCAGGGAACCGUCAAGAUUAGGAAUUCUCAAAGACCCAUUCUCUGCCCCAUUCUCCAUCUCUAUGUCAAUCUGGAACUUCCUUCCAGGUUGCCCGCCCACUGUGAGAACAAGUAUACAAUCCUCACAAAUUUAUUGAGCGUCUGUUGCAUGCGCAGCUCAUACAUCACACAUCUGUAACAAGCCCCUCAACCAUGUGGCUCUCCGAGGUGCGAACACAGAAGACUAGGAGGAAGGAACCCCGCCGCCGAACUCCAGCCACCACCACCCAACCACGACUUUCCCAGCUUAGUUCCACACCUAGAAUUUCUGUACCCCAAGGACUGAUUUCCCAGGGACUUUGAGCAGCCACGUGGACCACGGUUUCCGACGUGGGGUCCUUCACCCGCAGCAACUCGAUCUGGGAAGUUGCUUUCUGAAGCCCAUUGACGAUGGUCGGUGCAGAAGCUUCCAUCUUAUCUACUUGGCAGCUGGAGCCUUAUUCACAGGGACCUCCCGUGACUUGGUCUCAGCUCAGCUUCUGCAUCUGCAAAAAGACACUGGUUCUUUGGAUCGCGGUUUUUUGGGUCUGUCGGGGACCGGUAAACUGCAGGUUGGCCCCCAGCAGGUUUCUGUACUGGAUUCAAUGUAGAUGCUCCCGCCUCUUCUAAGAGCAGUUGAAACCGAGGGUAUUUGGGGGAGGGGGCAUUGAACGCCUCGCCUCUCUGGCUCGGGGCCCCACAGGACCGCUGGCAGCAGUGCAAAGCCGGGCCGGAAGACAGCCGCGCCGCCCCUCCGGGUCCAGGCCCAGCCUAGCUGGCUGCGGAUCAAAGAGCUAGGGCCGUCCUUCUCAGUGUUCAGAUGCUAUCUGCGCCUGCCCAGCGGGGAGCCGCCGCCCCCCACCUCUGGGCUAAGGUGUCCUCCCGUUGGGUCUCUCCAGCCUGCUUCCCCAAGGUGUGACCAAGUGCUCAAUUGGAUCCCGGUCCCUCUAUCUUGCGGGGAGAGGCUCCAGCCAAAAACCGCCCUGCCUGGAGAGCACUGACACAUGAUCUCCCAGCCCCUCCACCCCCAUCAACUACCCAGGUUGUAGGGUCUGGCUUUAGGAUGAACCUCCCCUAAAAGUUGAACGGAAAUAGGUAUCUGCCUAACCCUAAGGCGUUUGGGGUGGGGUUAGGGGGGCUUCUGUGUUUGUGGGUGACUACAGCUUAGGCAGAACCGCCUCCUGAACAAUUGGUAAGAUCCCUGAGGUCUCAGUGGACACAGGCCGGUGGGGACUGAAGUUUUCUCCAAUCCAAGGAGAAAAGAAAGAAUUCAGAAGGGGCAAGUGAGGUG